GCCUUCGUAGUGUAGUGGUCAGCACGCUCGACGCGUAUUGGAGAGGUCCGUGGUUCGAUUCCCGGCGAAGGCG
rnacentral:tRNA from 1 species